rnacentral:rRNA from 1 species
AUUGAACGCAGGCGGCAUGCUUUACACAUGCAAGUCGAACGGUAACAGGCCGCAAGGUGCUGACGAGUGGCGAACGGGUGAGUAAUGCAUCGGAACGUGCCCAGUCGUGGGGGAUAACGCAGCGAAAGCUGCGCUAAUACCGCAUACGAUCUAUGGAUGAAAGCGGGGGACCGUAAGGCCCCGCGCGAUUGGAGCGGCCGAUGUCAGAUUAGGUAGUUGGUGGGGUAAAGGCCUACCAAGCCAACGAUCUGUAGCUGGUCUGAGAGGACGACCAGCCACACUGGGACUGAGACACGGCCCAGACUCCUACGGGAGGCAGCAGUGGGGAAUUUUGGACAAUGGGCGCAAGCCUGAUCCAGCAAUGCCGCGUGCAGGAAGAAGGCCUUCGGGUUGUAAACUGCUUUUGUACGGAACGAAAAGGCUCUGGUUAAUACCUGGGGCUCAUGACGGUACCGUAAGAAUAAGCACCGGCUAACUACGUGCCAGCCGCCGCCGUAACAC